rnacentral:rRNA from 1 species
AGAGUUUGAUCAUGGCUCAGGAUGAACGCUGGCGGCGUGCCUAAUACAUGCAAGUCGAACGAACUCUGGUAAUGAUUGGUACUUGUAUCAUGAUUUACAUUUGAGUGAGUGGCGAACUGGUGAGUAACACGUGGGAAACCUGCCCAGAAGUGGGGGAUAACACCUGGAAACAGAUGCUAAUACCGCAUAACAACUUGAACCGCAUGGUUCGAGUUUGAAAGAUGGCUUCGGCUAUCACUUUUGGAUGGUCCCGCGGCGUAUUAGCUAGAUGGUGAGGUAAAGGCUCACCAUGGCAAUGAUACGUAGCCGACCUGAGAGGGUAAUCGGCCACAUUGGGACUGAGACACGGCCCAAACUCCUACGGGAGGCAGCAGUAGGGAAUCUUCCACAAUGGACGAAAGUCUGAUGGAGCAACGCCGCGUGAGUGAAGAAGGGUUUCGGCUCGUAAAACUCUGUUGUUAAAGAAGAACAUAUCUGAGAGUAACUGUUCAGGUAUUGACGGUAUUUAACCAGAAAGCCACGGCUAACUACGUGCCAGCAGCCGCGGUAAUACGUAGGUGGCAAGCGUUAUCCGGAUUUAUUGGGCGUAAAGCGAGCGCAGGCGGUUUUUUAAGUCUGAUGUGAAAGCCUUCGGCUCAACCGAAGAAGUGCAUCGGAAACUGGAAAACUUGAGUGCAGAAGAGGACAGUGGAACUCCAUGUGUAGCGGUGAAAUGCGUAGAUAUAUGGAAGAACACCAGUGGCGAAGGCGGCUGUCUGGUCUGUAACUGACGCUGAGGCUCGAAAGUAUGGGUAGCAAACAGGAUUAGAUACCCUGGUAGUCCAUACCGUAAACGAUGAAUGCUAAGUGUUGGAGGGUUUCCGCCCUUCAGUGCUGCAGCUAACGCAUUAAGCAUUCCGCCUGGGGAGUAC